rnacentral:rRNA from 1 species
CGAACGCUGGCGGCAUGGCUAAAACAUGCAAGUCGAACGCGAAAGGGGACUUCGGUCCCCAAGUAGAGUGGCGAACGGGCGAGUAAUGCGUUUCUAACGUGCCCCGAGGUCAGGGAUAGCCCAGGGAAACCUGGAUUAAUACCUGAUGACCCCCCGACGUCGUAUGGCGAUGGGGGCAAAGGCUUGCUGCCUCGGGAUCGGGAAACGUCCUAUCAGGUUGUUGGUGAGGUAACGGCUCACCAAGCCUAAGACGGGUAGCGGGUGUGAGAGCACGACCCGCCGCAUCGGGACUGAGACACUGCCCGGACUCCUACGGGAGGCUGCAGUAACGAAUAUUCCGCAAUGCACGAAAGUGUGACGGAGCAAUGCCGCGUGUGGGAUGAAGCCCUUCGGGGUGUAAACCACUGUCAGGGGUCAGAAAGAUCUGAUCAGCCCCAAAGGAAGAGCCGGCUAACUCU